rnacentral:rRNA from 1 species
GACGAACGCUGGCGGCGUGCUUAACACAUGCAAGUCGAACGGAAAGGCCCUGCUUAUGUGGGGUGCUCGAAUGGCGAACGGGUGAGUAACACGUGAGUAACCUGCCCUUGACUUUGGGAUAACUUCAGGAAACUGGGGCUAAUACCGGAUAGGAGCUCCUGCUGCAUGGUGGGGGUUGGAAAGUUUCGGCGGUUGGGGAUGGACUCGCGGCUUAUCAGCUUGUUGGUGGGGUAGUGGCUUACCAAGGCUUUGACGGGUAGCCGGCCUGAGGGGGUGACCGGCCACAUUGGGACUGAGAUACGGCCCAGACUCCUACGGGAGGCAGCAGUGGGGAAUAGUGCACAAUGGGCGGAAGCCUGAUGCAGCAACGCCGCGUGCGGGAUGACGGCCUGCGGGUUGUAAACCGCUUUCGCCUGUGACGAAGCGUGAGUGACGGUAAUGGGUAAAGAAGCACCGGCUAACUACGUG